AUGCCGGAGUUCAUCAAGAAGCACACGCCGGCACAGAAGGUUCCAAUCGGACAGUUCAUGGUCCCCAAGUUUAAGUUCACGUUCGAGUUCGAGGCGUCGUCGGACAUGCAGAAGCUUGGUGUCACCAGGGCUUUCAAUAGGGGCAACUUCUCAGGCAUGGUGAGUGGCGGGGAUGAGCUCUCCAUCACCGGGGUGUACCAUAAGGCCACCAUUGAGGUGGACGAGCUAGGCACCGUGGGCGCUGCAGCCACGGUCAUCGUAAUUGGGACUACUAGUGUGGGUCCAAGGGAACUGAUGGAUUUUGUGGCGGAUCGGCCCUUCUUGUUUGCUGUGGUUGAGGAGAGGACAAGCACAGUGUUAUUCCUGGGUCAUGUGGUUAAUCCUCUUGCUCGCUAA
rnacentral:rRNA from 1 species